GACGAACGCUGGCGGCGUGCCUAAUACAUGCAAGUCGUGCGGACCUUGUUGAAAGCUUGCUUUUAAAAGGUUAGCGGCGGACGGGUGAGUAACACGUGGGCAACCUGCCUGUAAGACUGGGAUAACGCCGGGAAACCGGGGCUAAUACCAGAUCGUUUUUUCCUCCGCAUGGAGGAAAAAGGAAAGGCGGCUUCGGCUGCCACUUACAGAUGGGCCCGCGGCGCAUUAGCUAGUUGGCGGGGUAAUGGCCCACCAAGGCAACGAUGCGUAGCCGACCUGAGAGGGGGAUCGGCCACAUUGGGACUGAGACACGGCCCAAACUCCUACGGGAGGCAGCAGUAGGGAAUCUUCCGCAAUGGACGAAAGUCUGACGGAGCAACGCGGCGUGAGGGAAGAAGGCCUUCGGGUCGUAAAACUCUGUUGCCGGGGAAGAACAAGUGCCGUUCGAACAGGGCGGCGCCUUGACGGUACCCGGCCAGAAAGCCACGGCUAACUACGUG
rnacentral:rRNA from 1 species